rnacentral:rRNA from 1 species
AUGGGAACUGCUAGGCAGUGUAACUUCAGCUUAAAUUGGGAAUAUCUGCAGCUUCCUUCCUUCAACCUUGAGCACCUGGAUGCCAUAUUCACCAUGGAGGAGUUAAAAAAGGCGGUUCUAGAAAUGCAUGAUGAGAAGUUCCCUCGCCCUGAUGGUUUUAUUGGGGAUUUUUUCAAGAAGUGUUGGGAGCUCAUUAAAGGAGAUUUGCUGGAGGCCAUCAAUCAAUUUUUUCAUCUCAGAGGGAAAACAUGGAAUCUUUUGAAUAAUGCUUUCAUUGUGCUGCUGCCAAAGAAAGGAAAUGCUGAUCAUGCUGCUGAUUUUAGGCCAAUUAUUCUCGUGCAUAGUGUGGCAAAGAUUCUAUGCAAAAUCUUGGCAAACAGAUUGGCCCCGGAAUUACAACAUAUGAUCUCUGCAAGUCAAAGUGCCUUCCUCAAGGGCCGUAGCAUUCAAGAUAAUUUUUUGUAUUUCCAGAAUGUCAUAAGACAAGCAUUCACAAAAAAUUCACCUCUCAUCUUCCUCAAAUUGGAUAUCUCUAAGGCCUUUGAUUCUGUGCAUUGGAGCUACAUGUGGGAGGUUCUGAAAGGUUUUGGUUUCGGCCAAAGAUGGACGGACAUGAUUGCAUUGCUGCUCUCGACUUCCUCUUCACGAGUCCUCCUCAACGGUUGUCCAGGUGAACCGUUCCUGCACCGGAGGGGGUUGCACCAGGGAGACCCAUUGUCGCCGAUGUUACUCAUUCUUGCAAUGGAACCACUGCAAAAAAUGAUUGCCAUGGCAAUGGCUGAUGGUCUUCUCACCCCUUUAAGCCAUCAGGCCGCCAGUUUGAGAACCAGCCUGUACGCGGAUGACGCGGCACUUUUUGUGAAUCCCAUCAGAGAAGAAAUUGCAGCUACUCAGAGAAUUAUGCUUAGAUUUGGAGAGAUCUCUGGCGUGAUGAUCAGCUUAGGGAAGUGCACGGCAUUCAAGAUCCGAUGCAACGAUGAAGAGCAUGGAGAGGUUUUGCAGGACUUUGGAGGAAAGGAGGGUUUUUUCCCUUGCCAAUACCUAGGUUUACCACUGAACAGGAGGAAGCCGACGCGUGCUGAAUUGCAACCAAUGAUAGACAAGGCUGCUGGAAGAGUCAAGCCAUGGAAAGGAAGAAUUCUGAAUAGAACUGGGCGGCUAACUCUAAUCAACCCAGUCCUCACGGCAAUGGCAACGUUCUUCCUCUCGUGUUUCGCAAUGGAUAAAUGGGCUAUCAAGAAGCUUGAUAAGUGCAGGAGGAAUUUUCUUUGGGCUGGGGAUGAGGAGGCAAGGGGAAGCAAAUGCCUUGUAAACUAG